UACAGUUUAAAGUCUUAGGUUAUCAGAAUCACAAAUGUGCCUUUAAGUGUUGGAGGCAAAUCCCAUGAAAACAUCUGACUGUAAAAGGUGGAGACAAUGGCCAGUUAUUUCCUCUUGUUAUUGUGACACUGUGUUUUCUUUUCUGCCUUCAUGAAUGCGGGUGGAGAGGAAGGGGGCCCUGCUAUAAGAGGAACAAUUUAAAAACAAACAUUGGCAGAGUUCCUGUUGUGGCUCAAUGGGUUAAGAAUCCAACUGGUAUCCAUGAGGGUUGGGGUUCAAUCCCUGGCCUCGCUCAAUGGAGUAAAGAUCCGGUGUUACUGUGAGCUGUGGUGUAGGUGGCAGAUGUGGCUCAGAUUCUGUGUUGCUGUGGCUGUGGCGUAGGCCGUCGAUGCAGCUCCAGUUCAACCACUAGCCUGGGAACUUCCAUAUGCUGCAGGUCUGGGCCUAAAAAACAGAGGAAAAAAAAAAAAAGAAUGGCGCAUAACAUCUGUUUCCGAAGCCUGUUUACCGAACCACUGCAUUUCAACCAUCUAGUCUGGACACCUUUGAAAAGGAGGAUUCUUCUACUGCUAUGGAAAGAGAUGCUAAUAUAAAACGCCCAUAAAUUGGGGGAUUUGUUAAAUAAACUAAGGUAUAGUCAAGUCAUAGUAAUGAUGUAGCUGUUAAAAAGAAGUACUAGAGAUGCUGUUGUGGCUGAGCAGUAACGAACCCAACUAGUAUCCAUGAGAACUUGGAUUCAAUCCCUGGCCUUGCUCAGUGGGUUAAGAAUCCAGCAUUGCCGUGAGCUAUGGUGUAGGUCGCAGACACAGCUUGGAUCCCAUGUGGCUGUGGCUGACAGGUGCAGCUCCUUUUUGACCCCUAUCCUGGGAUCCUCCAUAUGCCCACAGGUACAGCCCUAAAAAGACCAAAAAAAAGGCAAAAAAGGAAAGAAUAAGUAGGAGUUCUCAUUGUGGCUCAGCAGGUUAAGAACCUGACAUAGUCUCCGUGAGGGUGCAGGUUGACUCCUUGGCCUCCAUCAGUGGGUUAAGGGUCUCACAUUGCUAUAAACUGUGGUAUAGGUCCCAGAUCUGGUGUGGCUGUGGUGUAGGCCUGCAGGUGCAGUUUUAAUUCAGCCGCAAGCCUGGAAACUUCCAUAUGCCCCAGGUGUGGCCUUAAAAAGAAAUAAUAAUAAUAAUAAUAAUAAAGGUAGUUUCCAUGUUCCAAGAAUGGUGGAGUAGCUUGAUUGCUCUAAUCCUCUGUAUAACAUUUAUAAUCUUCAUAAAGCAUUUAAAAAAAAGAACUCAUUUUAAGGCACGUAGAGAGCAAGCAAAAUGAGGCAGAAACUUGAACAGAAUUCCACCCACCCCCUGUUUUAUUUUUUAUUAUUUUUUUAAAAAUUUUUUUAUUUUUCUGUCUUUUUGCCUUUUCUAGGGCCGCACCUGAGGCAUAUGGAGGUUCCCAGGCUAGGAGCUAUAGCCGCCAGCGUACGCCAGAGCCACAGCAAAGUGGGAUCAGAGCUGCAUCUGCAACCUACACCACAGCUCAUGGCAACGCUGGAUCCUUAACCUACUGAGCAAGGCCAGGGAUCGAACCCACAACCUCAUGGUUCUGAGUUGGAAUCGUUAACCACUGUGCCACGAUGGGAACUCCCC
rnacentral:lncRNA from 1 species